AGAGUUUGAUCCUGGCUCAGGACGAACGCUGGCGGCGUGCCUAAUACAUGCAAGUCGAGCGGUCCCUUCGGGGAUAGCGGCGGACGGGUGAGUAACACGUAGGCAACCUGCCUGUAAGAUCGGGAUAACUACCGGAAACGGUAGCUAAGACCGGAUAAGUGGUUUUUCCGCAUGGAGGAAUCAAGAAACACGGAGCAAUC
rnacentral:rRNA from 1 species